rnacentral:rRNA from 1 species
UACGUAGGCAGCGAGCGUUGUUCGGAGUUACUGGGCGUAAAGGGUGCGUAGGCGGUUGUUUAAGUUUGGUGUGAAAUCUCCCGGCUCAACUGGGAGGGUGCGCCGAAUACUGAAUGACUAGAGUGCGGGAGAGGAGAGUGGAAUUCCUGGUGUAGCGGUGAAAUGCGUAGAUAUCAGGAGGAACACCGGUGGUGUAGACGGCUCUCUGGACCGUAACUGACGCUGAGGCACGAAAGCGUGGGGAUCAAACAGG